CCCUGGACAGGUCGCCAGUCUGUCGCAGGGCUUCAAAAAAAGCUAUCAAACAAAAUGUGUAUUUUCAUAUAUAUCAUUAGUUAUUAGUUAGAAAAGUCUUACAUAACAGCUGACUGAAGUUUGGUCCGUUUACAGCAUCCUGCCAUGCGAUUGCUUUUGUCCCUAACCAACGGGAACCCUCACAUGAACUUUUAUCAAGUGGAAAAAGCAGAUGAACCAGCUGAAGGCUCUGCCUCCCACUCUACUUUCAGACAGCAGAUGCUGAAACGCUUUCACUACAGGGCUCUGAGAUGUUAUCUGCAACAACUGCUCAUAAUUUCAGCUUUCGACUGAUAACAAGCCAUAAAAGCAGUAGGACAGAUAAGCCUUGUGGCUGUUGUGAAGCACAGAAGGCAGGUGGACACAACCAUGCCAGGUCAAACUGCAGAAGGUUGGGUCCAGCACCAGAUGGUUUGUCUUGAUCAGAACACUUGACUGAGAAAGUCCCACAGCUGCCUCAACAAACCCAAAGAAAGAA